GGCAGGGUAGCUCAGUCGGUCAGAGCGAGGCAAUCAUAACGCCUAGGUCACGAGUUCGAUCCUCGUCCCUGCUA
rnacentral:tRNA from 1 species